AGGCAGAGUCUUUAGGCUAGUCCUUAUGUGUGUUCACCUGCACUGUGGAUUUAAACAUUUUAAAGUACUUAUAAAAUAAUGAUCUUUUUUUUAGGGGGAACUUAUACAUGAAAAAUUCACAUUUAACAGGAACAUUUUGGUACUGACAAAACUAAUGUGGAGUUACCCAGAAUGCCUAGCUGUAUUGUUCAUUAGUGCAUAGUGAAGUGUAAAAAGCCGCGUUGCUGAAGGCUGUGAAUCAGGCUGGUCUCAUGACUGCCACAAUUCUCUAUUCACUCUUUGUUUGUUUGCCUGCAGGUUAAAUUUGCUCUCGAUAACAAGUAUAAAAGAAGACCAUCUUCUCCUUUCUAGCAGAGAGACUAUUUACAGUUACAGAACUGCUUUGGUUGAUACAGAAUACUUUAGAUAAACUAAAAGACAGGGGAAAUAGGCAAGCAUUAGAAAAAAAAAAAAAAAAAAAAACAAUGGCAGACUAUCAGGAAACAGAAUGACAAGGUAGUGGUUGAACAUCAUAUAGUUGUCUUUCUUGUAGUAUUUUGUGCUAAGUAGCAGGAAAAUCAGGGUUGGAAGUGAAAAAUUCCGUUUUAGUUGUCUUCUUUCUGCUAGCAUUGUUAAGUGUUUGACCGUGUGCUUUUGUACACUGGCAGAGAAGAUGAGUAAGUGUAAGAAAGAGUUGAGUGAGAGAGAGAGAGAGUUGAGUGAGAGAGAGAGAGAACGGCUGCUCAUCCGCAGGGCCAGCGGAGCCAACGCCUCUCAGCUGGCUCAUAUGGAAAAGAUGCUACAAGAAACCAAAGGCCUGCUGGAGAAGAAGACAGAGACGGAUUCAGAAAGCAAAGCCUGUGGGGACACUAUGGUGUCUGAUCUGGAGCAGAAGGUCCAGCGCAGCAAGCGAGACCGUCGUAACUCUCUCCACCGCACACAGCUGCUGGAGAGUCAGAUGAAGACGGUUCGCGGCGAGCUGGUUGGCACGCUUGACCACCUGCAGGAGCUGCGCAACAUACUGCGACGCUCGCAGCAGAACGCAGAAGAGCGGGACGCAGCCAUGCAAAAACUAGCUGCAGGGCUGAGGUGAGACACCACAUGUCUGCCUGCAGUUCCUGGGUUACCACAUCCAUUCAUCUCAUCUUAAAGACUUUAAAGCACUGUUCCUCUGAAAUAUCUGUUUGACUGCACAUCCAGAAUGAUGCUAUUUUCACAUUGGCUCAUACAUUCCUAUGCAACCAGAUGCUGUUGUAAAAUCUAUGUUAAAUGAUUGAAGCAUGCCACAGUUAUUUAAAGGGCGUGGUUUUAUUCUCUUAAGAUAGAAGUAGUUCUGUUUUGGCUGAUGAGAACUCUGUUUGGUAGCAUCCGGGUUUUAUAUCCUGUUGUCAGUGAAAUGCAGCAUUAAAGCAUAAUUUCAAUCAUAUAAACAAAUGUCUGUAUAAGUAUAUAGACAUCCAUUGAAUGCCUUGUUAACUUGUGUGACGGCUUCAGCCAAGUGUUUUUUUGUUUUUUUUUCUUCACAGGAUUCGUUUUGUAAGACCACAGAUUGUGUAUAAUGUCUUGUAGCUUUGAGUUGUUUCAUAUGUGAUACCUGCAAGAUCCAACAUUCCUUAAUAUGAAUGCUUUAGUCCUGUAUACUCAGAGACUCAACUGCUUUUAUCGUUUAAUUUAAUAUAUUGUUUAUUCCUUUUACAUGAUCUGCAAUAUUACAUGCUGUUUCAACAUUAAUAUUAAUCCCCAAUUCACCAAGUAAUGCUGAUGUAGAAUGUUUGUGUCUGGAUACUCAUUAAAAUAUCCAUAUGUCCUCCAGGUUGUACUUUAUGAAAAGAAAACAGAAACAUUAUAUCCAUUUCAGUUGUGGAUUUCCUCCACGUAUCCUAAAGAUCACUUUUUCAUGUUGCUUUCGGGAGUUUUAGUAUAAGAUUGAAUUUUAAAUCUACUUUUCUUUCCUCCACUUUGAGUGAAGUUCUCUCAAACUUUGUGUCCUCAUGCCACCCUUGUAAGUGAGAUAUAACACCACUGAUCUGCCCUCACUCACCUUACGUUGAAAGGGUAAUGGCCACAUUUUAUUAACUUAAGUAAAAUAUUGGCCAUGUUGUACAUGUUGUUUAAAUGAGGCUUUUAAGAUCAGGAAUUGAAUGUAUUGCAGAGGAGGAAAAAAUGGUAAAUCACCUUGUCCUUUGGAUUUAAGAGAAUGAGAUUAAACAUUCAGAGGAGGACCUGCAAACAAUGAAGGAAUGAGAGAUACAAAAAAAAUCUAGACUGCUUUGAACCUCCUCUCCACUCAUCCAGAACCUCUACGUACUAUCAGCAACACCAGACACCACUGUUCAUGCUGAUACACGUUGAAAAUCAUGCAGCAAACAUGCAAGAAAUUUAUUCAUUGUGAAAGACUGCAUUUAGAGUGGAGGAGAGCACUAAAGUAUAUCUGGUAUACAACAUCACAGCACACAAUUAUGGGAUGUUUUGUUUAUUAUUAUUAUUAUUAUUAUUUUAUGUAUAUAAUGUGGAUCUAAAGCACUUAGAUUGAAUCUACACUCUAAGUGUACAUUUUGUCAAUUAUAUGCCUCUUACGUGUAUUCCGUGGUGUCUUUUUUAACCUUUUUUUUUUUUUUUUUUUUUUUACAUUUUUAAUUAAUUAAUUUAAUUUAAAUAAUAGAUAUAUCAUUCAAACAUUUUCUUAAUUAACCUCACAAUUGCUGGGGGACCUGUGUCCUGCCUCACACAUCCACUUAAAAUGACCACGGCCAAGUAGAUGUAGCGAAUAGUUUGAUCAGAGAAGCAUUAACAUUUGUUUGCAAAUACCAUGUUACACGUCUAUGCUUCAUUACGUUUUGAGUUUUGUCUUCCUUGUCUUGUGACCUAGUUUUCCUAAGUUGUUUGAUUAGUUAUCAUGUCCACCUGAUGUCAAUUAAUGAACUCGUUAUUUCCCUUUGUUUGCCUUGUGUAUUUACGCCCUGUGUUAUCUCCUUCUGUUUGUCUGUGUUUGAAAGGUUGUUGUUAGUGGCUUUCCUGAGUUUAUGUAGUUUAAAGUUUGUCCUUUGGAGUAUGCAUGUUUCUAUACUAAUACGUGACAACCACUUGGAUUUUUUUUAAUUUUUAUUAUUAUUAAAUAUGAUGACAUUAUACAUAAGUGGGGGCUUAAGUGUCCAAAUGCUCUUUGGGGCCAGUUUAUGAGUCUGUUUGUUGACUUUGUAAUUUCUACUUCUAGUCAAGACUCAGAAUGACUGCUAUGUGGCCAUUACUAAAUGCCCCAGACAACUCUAAAUUAUAAACCCAAGGCACUUUGGUUAUGUGACUUUAUAUGAUCACAAUCAGGCUGUUGUAGCAUGUUUUUUUUUUUUUUUAAAUUAGAUGCACAAUUGUUCUGUUCUGUCCAAGAAAAGAGAUGUCAUGCUCUCUUAGGAGCACAGGACUUGUGUCUCUCAGAUUAGCAUCAAAACAAACCACACAAUCUGUUAUAUAAGCAGCUUUUCCCAGCCUGUUUGAUAACUGUUUACAUUAAGUUAGUAUGGUUUGCUUUGUUGUAAACAGACUGCAAUGCAUUGUAAUAGUUACAUUAUUCAAAGAUGUUUUGGUAAAGAGCAAGUACGAUCCUGUUUUGCUUGACAGAACACCUCAAAUAAAGAUUGAUGAAACUUUAGUGUGUCCCUAGUU
ensembl:lncRNA